rnacentral:lncRNA from 1 species
CCUAUAAAUGUGUAAAAUAUAAAUAUUAAAAAUAUUAUUUUCUGAUAAUUUAAGUUUUGACAAAAAAUGAUCAUUCCAUAGUAUUGAAUAUAAAUACUGAAAGUAUCAUUCUCUAACAAUUUAAAUGAGAGAGAGAGAGAUUGAAUAUAAAUACUGGAAGUAUCAUUCUCUGACAAUUUAAAUGAGAGAGAGAUUGAAUAUAAAUACUGAAAGUAUCAUUCUCAGACAAUUUAAAUGAGAGAGAGAGAGAGAGAGGAUAUCAUGGUUGGGUAGUGGAAAAUCAUGAGGGAAUGUGAUGAAUUGAUGUGUGGGGUUUAAUGAUAGGGGAUGUAGCAAUUGGAGAUUUUUUUUUUUUUUUUGAGAGAAGGUACAAUUGG